GAAAAACCUUGUUGUUAAUCAGGCACAAGUAAAUAGCCAGAGAUGGAGCCAGAAGGGAAUGGAUUUGGGCGAUAAUCAGCCAAUGGCACACAAAGAGCAGUGGGAGAAAAUCGAUAAACGUCUUCAAGAAGUAAAUGCGCAUUUUUAUCACCAACUGUCACACACGAAACAAACAGAGCGUUGUAUGAAGUCUCCCGUUCGUCUGCCUGGUUUCUCGUCAUCGCUGUUCGUCUGCCUGGUUUCUCGUCAUCGCUGUUCGUCUGCCUGGUUUCUCGUCAUCGCUGUUCGUCUGCCUGGUUUCUCGUCAUCGCUGUUCGUCUGACCCUGGAACCCCGUCCACUCUUCACCACCGGAUGCCACUACUCACCACCACGGACUGCUCAUCUCAGGCCUGUGUCACGCUCUCCUGCUGCCUCACCUCACCGCCACUUACGGGAUCACCGUCAGUCAUCACCGCGACCAUCUGUUGUUCCCCCUGGAUUUAUUUGUAUACCGG
ensembl:lncRNA